GGGGCUACUUGCUGGGCUAGCGCCUGCUUCUAACGCAUGCGCCGUGCGGUUCGAUCCCGCAUAGCUCCACCA
rnacentral:tRNA from 1 species